GAAAGUAAGCAAGGGCAGACGGUGGAUGCCUUGGCUCUCGGAGGCGACGAAGGACGUGAUAAGCUGCGAAAAGCUCGGGGGAGGCGCAAAUAGCCCUUGAUCCCGGGAUAUCCGAAUGGGGCAACCCGGCAGGCUGAAGGCCUGCCAUCCCGUAAGGGAGGCGAACGUGGGGAACUGAAACAUCUAAGUACCCAUAGGAGGAGAAAAUAAACAAUGAUUCCGUAAGUAGUGGCGAGCGAACACGGAAGAGCCCAAACCCAUGUCGUCUAGGCGACACGGGGGUUGUAGGACCACGACGUGGCAAGAUAGAGUCAAGUGGAACGCCUUGGAAAAGGCGACCGUAGAGGGUGAUAGUCCCGUACACGACUGACGAUUGAAGCCUAGUGGCAUCCUGAGUAGCGCGGGGCACGAGAAAUCUUGCGUGAAACUGCGGGGCCCAUCCCGUAAGGCUAAAUACUCCCGAGAGACCGAUAGCGAACCAGUACCGUGAGGGAAAGGUGAAAAGAACCCCGAGCAGGGGAGUGAAAUAGACCCUGAACCCGUCUGCCUACAAGCGGUCGGAGCAUCGUCAAGAUGUGACGGCGUGCCUUUUGCAUAAUGAACCUACGAGUUACCUUCCCCGGCAAGGUUAAGUACCUAAGGUACGGAGCCGAAGCGAAAGCGAGUCUGAAGAGGGCGGCCAGUCGGGGGGGGUAGACGCGAAACCGAGUGAUCUACCCUUGGCCAGGUUGAAGGUUGGGUAACACCAACUGGAGGACCGGAUGGGUAAGCGUUGAAAAGCUUUCCAAUGAGCUGAGGGUAGGGGUGAAAGGCUAAUCAAACUCGGAGAUAGCUCGUACUCCCCGAAAUGCAUUUAGGUGCAGCCUCUUUAUAGUAUAUCGUGAGGUAGAGCGACUGAUUGGAUGCGAGGGCUUCACCGCCUAUCAAGUCCAGAUAAACUCCGAAUGCGCGAUAUAUAUUUAAAGGGAGUGAGGGCGCGGGUGCUAAGGUCCGUGUCCGAGAGGAGAAGAAUCCAGACCACCGGCUAAGGCCCCCAAAUGAUCGUUGAGUUGAACUAACGAGGUCGGAUCGCAGAGACAGCUAGGAUGUUGGCUUGGAAGCAGCCAUUCAUUUAAAGAGUGCGUAACAGCUCACUAGUCGAGCGAUCUGGCGUGGAUAAUAAUCGGGCAUAAACGAUCUGCCGAAGCCGUGGAUGUCGUAAGACAUGGUAGGGGAGCAUUCCAUGCGGCGUCGAAGAUGAGGGAUGACCCUUGUUGGAGCGCAUGGAAAAGCAAAUGUAGGUAUGAGUAACGAUAAGGGGGGCGAGAAACCCCCCCGCCGAAAGACCAAGGUUUCCUGAUCAACGCUAAUCGGAUCAGGGUGAGUCGGGACCUAAGGCAAAGCCGAACGGCGACGCCGAUGGAAGAAUGGGUUAAUAUUCCCAUACUGCCUCAUGGAGUGACGUGGAGACGGAGAAGUGACAGUCCUGCCGGCUGACGGAAUAGCCGGUUGAAGGGUGUAGAUAUUGAUUCCCGUAGGCAAAUCCGCGGGGAGAGUCGAACCUGACAGUAUACGGAGCGCUUGCGCGACGUAAUAUGGACGUAACCAUGCUCCCAAGAAAAUCCGCUAAACUUAUCCAUGCGGCACCCGUACCGUAAACGGACACACGUGGUCGGGUUGAGAAUACUGAGGCGCUCGAGUGACUCACGGUUAAGGAACUAGGCAAAUUGACCCUGUAACUUCGGGAUAAAGGGUCCUCGUCGUAAGGCGAGGCGCAGAGAAUAGGUCCAGGCAACUGUUUAACAAAAACACAUGGCUGUGCUAAAUGGAAACAUGACGUAUACAGCCUGACACCUGCCCGGUGCUGGAAGGUUAAGAGGAGAUGUCAUCGCAAGAGAAGCGUUGAAUUGAAGCCCCAGUAAACGGCGGCCGUAACUAUAACGGUCCUAAGGUAGCGAAAUUCCUUGUCGGGUAAGUUC
rnacentral:rRNA from 1 species